rnacentral:rRNA from 1 species
UACAGAGGUCUCAAGCGUUGUUCGGAUUCAUUGGGCGUAAAGGGUGCGUAGGCGGCGCGGUAAGUCGGGUGUGAAAUCUCGGAGCUUAACUCCGAAACUGCAUUCGAUACUGCCGUGCUUGAGGACUGGAGAGGAGACUGGAAUUUACGGUGUAGCAGUGAAAUGCGUAGAGAUGCGGAGGAACACCGAUGGCGAAGGCAGCCCCCUGGGCCAACACUGACGCUCAGGCACGAAAGCGUGGGGAGCAAACAGG